CGAAUUAUGGGCAGAUCAGUCGAGAGUCUGAGACGCGAAGCUAGAGCGCCUGUAACAUGGCAGUAAGCCGCUACGU
rnacentral:ncRNA from 2 species